rnacentral:tRNA from 1 species
GGGACUGUAGCUCAGACUGGGAGAGCACAACGCUGAAGACGUUGGGGUCAUGGGUUCAAAUCCCAUCGGUCCCA